UUAAAUGUCCGCAAAUGGAAGCUCUUUUUUUUAAAUCAGUAACACACUUAGAAAUAUACAUGUUUUAUUUUAAAUUUGUAUUUAAUAUAUGCCACAUUAAAAUUAGCAGUCAAACACUUUUGUUUUCUGACAUAGAUUACAUAAUUUCAGUUGUUUUUUUUUGUGUGUGUUCUUUUGAGGAUUGUUGUAUUAUUUCUCUGAAGUGUGUUUGAUAGAAAUAUGUUGUCAUUUAUAAUUGCGAUUACUUUGACAAUUCUUUUAGCUAGUGCACAGCCCAAUGACUCUUUAACCUGCUCAACAACAGAGAUCGGGAAGACUUCUUCCGUGAAUUUGAUUUGGAAGCCACCUCAAGACUUAACAAAGGCCUGGUCUCUGAAGAUAAAUUCAAGCGUUUUUUUACUCUACAAUAACAACGGAUGGAGGGAAGCUAAAGCGUGUUUCAAUGAUAAAUCAUGCGAGUUAAAAAAUAUGUCAACCAACAAAACUCAAAAUGUUACUUUGUCAUUCAUUGCAGCGGCUACAGGGAAGAAAACUGAAAAGACAGUUGAGUUUGAGAAUAUAGAUAUGAAGUUUUAUCCCUGUGAACUUCAAAUAUACAGUAGGCUUUUGAAAAUAUAAUGUAAUUGUAUGUUUGUGUUUCAAAACCUCAAGUUUAGAAUUGUUUUCAUGUCUAAAAACGUGUUCUAUUCUAGAUAAGCCCGUGCUUCGCCACGAUUGAGAGAAAAAAUUGAGAAGCUCAUUUGUACUCAUGAGGUUUCAUUCAAUCAGAAAUUGACAAUAAUAUGCACAUCAUACGAAACCUUUCCUGAAGCAAUUUGUAUCAUACUUAUCAGAAAUACAAUGAAUGAAACGAUCAAUGCUUCCGGUUUCAACAACUAUACCGAAAUUGAAAAUAGUUCAGGAUACUAUACAACGCAUUGUCUGUUCACUGUUUCUGUAUCAACUUGGAGUUCUGGACAGUAUCGAGUUGGUCUGAGUAUAUUUCCAAAUGUCACUAAUCAAAUUGACUCUGACUCGCCACUUGGUAUACAAAUCUUGUAUAAUUUUUUUCUAGGUAAUAAAAGUGUUUCUGACUGCUCAGAUGUAGAAUAUCAAAACAAUGUCUCCUGUCAAUGCCAAAGUGACAACUCCACUGUCAAAUUUGAGCUCAGUUGGAACUCAAGUCAGGUUUCCAACAAAGAGUUGAGAAACAAAGUGUGUACUUCAAAUUUAAACAGUAUUGAUGGAAGUCCAACCUUUCCACUGAUUCUCAUUGUAUGUUCCGUUUUGGCGUCAAUAACAAUAAUGCUCUUCAUAGUGCUCUUAUAUCAAAAGUUCAAUAGCUGCGCUAGAAAAGAGAGGGAUUUGUCUAAUCUACAAGGAACUGUGGAUUUAAAACGAGAGACUGAUACGAUGUAUCGUCAAAAGCUUGAAAUCCCCCUAGGUACAGAGGAUCUAAAUCAAGAUAUAGAAACAGUUAAAUGUUUCUCAACUGCGGAAGAUGCGGACUUAUACUCUGAUUUUGGUACAGAAUACUACACUCUUGAUGACUUGGCUAAUUGUGCGCCAGAUCAAAGCAAUACUAAUGAACACGAAGUGAUUCAAAACUAGGCUCUUCAGCCUGUCAAGAUUAUCUUUGUAUUGGAGACUUUUAUCUGUGGACUUUUAACCAAAAAUUGCUAGUACAGAAAAUAGAGAGUAUUGAUGAGCUAUAAAUAGCUUUCGCUUCUAGCGUAUACUAUAUAUUUUUAGUUAUUUAUGUUGUUAACACUUAUCUAUGAAUACGGCGUAUUUGAUAUAGUUUGGAAUAAAACAAUUAUCAUGAAAAAUACCAUUUAUCUUCUUGUUAUUAGUUAUAUUUAAAGGCUAACAUUUUUUAAGCUCUAUGUGAACAGAAAGUAGUGGACCAAACCUUGACAAAGCUUUUAUAGCAAAUACAUCAAUCAAGCCCAAUAAGUUUGAUAUAUUCUACUUUCGUUAUCGGUUGUUGUUGUUUUUUUCCGGAUGUUUAAUUACAAACUAUUUAUUCACAUUCAAGUCUCUGGUGUAUACUUCAAUGUCAUAUUUGAUUGAAGCUGGGGUAUGUUUGGUUUCCUUUUGUCAAUAUGUUUUAUUUACUUUUGUCAAUAUGUUUUAUUUACUUUUUUUCAAUAUGUUUUAUUUACUUUUUGCAAUAUGUUUUAUUUACUUUUUUGCAAUAUGUUUUAUUUACUUUUUUCAAUAUGUUUUUAUUUACUUUUGUCAAUAUGUUUUAUUAACUUUUGUCAAUAUUUUUUUGUUAUUUUUAAUGCACUAAUGUAAGAGAAAUUUCCUGAAAUAGACUAAAGAUUUAUUAUUUACUAGUUGACAAGCUGCGUAGCAUACGCCGCUAUUUCCAGGGAGGGCCUUAGGCCGCUGUAACCUAUGCGACCGAGGUGGAGCCUCACUUUCAUGGGACCCGGGCUAAUUCGGAGUGUAUAAAUUAUUAAAUUAAACCAUUUUAUAACUUAAAACAGAUUUCCCGCGCCAUCCUGUCAAUUUACCAGGAGCUCCAGGAAAUCUCCCUAAAUCGCUAAAUAUACGAAAAAGUCCUUAAAAUGUAUGGAAAUAUGUAGACAAAAAUUGUCAUUUUGCGGUGUCAUUUAAUAUGGAAAACGCCAAUCCUACGCGCGAUAAAUAAAAACAUCAUUAUGCAUUAGCCAUAAUUAUGUAAUCUGGUGAAAGAAGCUUCUCGCGCCUCAAACUAAUAAAGAAUUACUUGAGGUAAACAAUUCUCAAAGAUAAAUUGAGCGUGAUCUAUGUAGGAAACAGAAUUAUUAUGAUAUACUGUAUGACUUCGCUACACGUAAGGCUCAUAAAGUGAUUCUGUACAUAGUAAAGAAUGAAUAAAAUGCAUAGACGAAUUUAUUUUCUAAAACGAACUCUUAAACUUCCCUUCCCAAACUUGGCCCCACGAAAUCCGUUUAGCAUAGGGCCCCACAAUGGUUAAGCCCGGCGCUGCUAUUUAGUGUUUUUAAUGUUUUUUUUGUAAAAUGUUUCGGAUGUUCCUUCAGAAUUGAGUUUACUUCCUAGUCCAAACCUCCCGUAGGACGAAGGGGGAUGGGAGCGGGCAGGGUUUGCACCCGGGACUACCGAUACAUCCAAACGGCAGUCCAGCGCGGAAACCUCACGACCAGGCAGCCAUCCGAAGUAACGGGUGAAUACUACUUGUCCUCUCCCCCCACCCUCUUGUUUUACUCGUGUGGUAACAUAAGUCCGCAGAAAUAAAAGAGUGAUCUUUCCUUUACUUCUUGCUUGCGUGUCCAAACUCUUGAUCCAUGAAGAGAAUUAUAUAUAUAGAUUAUGUUAGAAAUGAACUCAUUCUGUGGCACUGCCAGAGUCAAAUUUCACUAAAGUGAAACAAAAUUCAUCGUAGUUCCUUUAACAGUUUCCACUGAGGAAUUUUCUUGCGAUGUGGCAAGUCUGCAACUGUACCGCCCUCUGACAGGUAAUGAUAAUCUUCCUUGGGAUGUUAAGGGCCUCCCGGACUUAAAAAUAUAUAUGAGGUCGGUAAUCAUUAUCCCCCCCCCCCCCCCGGUUGGUAUAACAAUGGGGUAUAUUGUUAUUUUUGAUAACUUCAAUAAACGCUUAAUCUCCAAGCCUAGGUUCCCAUACUUUUUUGUUACGGCGAUGACAAAAAUAAUAGCGAUUAAAAACCACCGUUUUUUCGGUCAAAACAGGCUUAUCCAGUACAGCAGAUGAUUAGUAGAAUCGAAAGUCUCUUGUGGCGAGUAUUUGUAAUAAGGAGGAGUAUCCUUACUGAUCAAAUUAAGUCAAUUGUUGGUGUAUUAACUUUUUUUUUUUUAAUAAUUUUUAUCA